GACGAACGCUGGCGGCGUGCUUAACACAUGCAAGUCGAACGGAAAGGCCCUGCUUUUGUGGGGUGCUCGAGUGGCGAACGGGUGAGUAACACGUGAGUAACCUGCCCUUGACUUUGUGAUAACUUCAGGAAACUGGGGCUAAUACCGGAUAGGAGCUCCUGCUGCAUGGUGGGGGUUGGAAAGUUUCGGCGGUUGGGGAUGGACUCGCGGCUUAUCAGCUUGUUUGUGGGGUAGUGGCUUACCAAGGCUUUGACGGGUAGCCGGCCUGGGAGGGUGACCGGCCACAUUGGGACUGAGAUACGGCCCAGACUCCUACGGGAGGCAGCAGUGGGGAAUAUUGCACAAUGGGCGGAAGCCUGAUGCAGCAACGCCGCGUGCGGGAUGACGGCCUUCGGGUUGUAAACCGCUUUCGCCUGUGACGAAGCGUGAGUGACGGUAAUGGGUAAAGAAGCACCGGCUAACUACGUG
rnacentral:rRNA from 1 species